GGAUUCAUUUCUGCUUUGGGCUGGGAAACAGCCAAGAGAGAGAGAGAGAGAGAGAGAGAGAGAGAGAGAGUGUGUGUUCAACCAAGGAAGAAGUGAACUCAAGAGAUUCAACCAUUGAAGGCUUAAGGUGAGCAGCAGGAUGCCUAACCCCAACUGUAACGAACCCAAGAAAGAAUGCCAAGUUGUGGAGUCAACCAUGUCACGCCUCACGAACGAGGCCUUAGUUUUCAAAACCAUCCUUUUGACCUUUUUGUCUUCUUUGAUGGUUGUGUUUGACCUUAUCAGUAUGUAGGCAAUGGUUUUGUAUAAAUAUGGUAUUACAUGGACCUAGACAUAGAAUGUCUUUUAUGUGGGUAUGUUUGGUGUGAGUUAUUAAUAUAAAAAAAAAAUGUUUUUGUUCA